CCUACGGGAGGCUGCAGUGAGGAAUAUUGGUCAAUGGACGCAAGUCUGAACCAGCCAUGCCGCGUGCAGGAAGACGGCUCUAUGAGUUGUAAACUGCUUUUGUACGAGGGUAAACGCAGAUACGCGUAUCUGUCUGAAAGUAUCGUACGAAUAAGGAUCGGCUAACUCCGUGCCAGCAGCCGCGGUAAUACGGAGGGUCCAAGCGUUAUCCGGAUUUAUUGGGUUUAAAGGGUGCGUAGGUGGUCGGGUAAGUUAGAGGUGAAACCCCGAGGCUGAACUUCGGAAUUGCAUCUGAAACUGUGCGGCUAGAGAGUAGUAGCGGUAGGCGGAA
rnacentral:rRNA from 1 species